AAGAGAUUAGUUUAAAAAAAACAUAAACUUGUCAAGUUUAAAAUAUUCAUUAAAAUAUUUCUUU
rnacentral:tRNA from 1 species